rnacentral:rRNA from 1 species
CCUACGGGUGGCAGCAGUGGGGAAUAUUGCACAAUGGGCGCAAGCCUGAUGCAGCCAUGCCGCGUGUGUGAAGAAGGCCUUCGGGUUGUAAAGCACUUUCAGCGGGGAGGAAGGCGUUAAGGUUAAUAACCUUGGCGAUUGACGUUACCCGCAGAAGAAGCACCGGCUAACUCCGUGCCAGCAGCCGCGGUAAUACGGAGGGUGCAAGCGUUAAUCGGAAUUACUGGGCGUAAAGCGCACGCAGGCGGUCUGUCAAGUCGGAUGUGAAAUCCCCGGGCUCAACCUGGGAACUGCAUUCGAAACUGGCAGGCUAGAGUCUUGUAGAGGGGGGUAGAAUUCCAGGUGUAGCGGUGAAAUGCGUAGAGAUCUGGAGGAAUACCUGUGGCGAAGGCGGCCCCCUGGACAAAGACUGACGCCCAGGUGCGAAAGCGUGGGGAGCAAACAGGAUUAGAUACCCUAGUAGUC